rnacentral:rRNA from 1 species
AGGGAAUCUUCCACAAUGGACGAAAGUCUGAUGGAGCAACGCCGCGUGAGUGAUGAAGGUUUUCGGAUCGUAAAACUCUGUUGUAAGGGAAGAACCAGUACGUCAGGCAAUGGACGUACCUUGACGGUACCUUAUUAGAAAGCCACGGCUAACUACGUGCCAGCAGCCGCGGUAAUACGUAGGUGGCAAGCGUUGUCCGGAAUUAUUGGGCGUAAAGCGCGCGCAGGUGGUUUCUUAAGUCUGAUGUGAAAGCCCACGGCUUAACCGUGGAGGGUUAUUGGAAACUGGGGGGAUUGAGUGCAGAAGAGGAAAGUGGGAUUCCCAGUGUAGCCGUGGAAUGCGGAGAGAUUUUGAGGAACACCAGUGGCGAAGGCGACUUUCUUGUCUGCCACUGACGGUGGGGCGCCAAAGCAUGGGGAGCAAACA